UUCCGGAUUGUAGUUCAUUCCAAAUAUUGUCAAGUUGACAACCAGGAAUAGCCACUACACAUGGGUAAUCCACAAACCAGAGGGCUCUGAGGUGAGAGGCAGCACCCAACAGAGAAGAGCUCCGCACAGUGCUGUUGGAGGAUUGACAGCACAGAAGGUGCCUGCUCACUCUCCUCUCCCCGACUCUGCCCUUCUCAGGGCUGCCCUGUCGCAUAUGGACCUCAUCCAGAUUCCAAAAGAAAGAAGGCGAGAAAGAAGCUAGCCCUUCAAGUGUGCUUUAAGAGCAGCGAGCUGAUGGGGAAUGCAUUUCCCACAGCAGAACAGGAUGAGGGGAUUUCGUCCCUGAAGAAUAAAAGGAAUAAAUAGCAGAGUCCAUUUGAUGGAAGAGAUUGGCUAGAGGCCAGUGAACAUGAACAUGGCAAUCCAGAUGGAUUCAGGAGCCUUCGGGCCCUGUCCACUGUCUGGGCUCGUCCUGAGGCCUCCACACUAUUGGCUCAACCCUGAGAUUCCCUUCCACUCUGUAACAAGGCUUUGGCCAUGUGAAACUGUGACCCUGAUAUCAUUUCUCCCUCUCCCUCUUCCUCUCCCCUUUCUCCCUCCUUCUUAAAUGAGUCUUUGUGGUUGAGGGCAUUUCUUUUUUUUUUUAAUAAACAAACAGAUAACAACAAAUAAAUAGACAAAUAUAAUAA